rnacentral:lncRNA from 1 species
ACUUUCAGGCAAGGCCAAGGCUUCUUGAAAGGCUGGUCAUGCCCCAGUGAUCAAUGAAGAACUCAGGGAUAUCCCAAAACUCAGGACUAUAAGGCACAAUGGGGGAGCAGGUACCAGGUGGCCAGCAUCCUAAAUGACUCUCAGCAGCUGCAGAGAACAUUCUCAUAAAAGAGAAUCAGUCAUCCUGAGGUAUAGAAUGCUGGGGCCCUUCCAUUACUCCAUGCACUGGGGAAGAACUAGAAUUGUGAGAAGAGCUUUCACGCUCCCAUAACCAUUCCUUGGCCCACCUCCAAGAAAAGGCAGGCUGGCCUCUGUUUAGGUGUUGUCUGUGCUUGCAUUCCCAACGUUGACAUGAGGAAUUAUCAAUGGGUUCCGGACAUAAUCAGCCACACGGCAGAGUGAAUUCCAGGAGUGUAAAUAACAAGAGCUGCCUAUAAAUCUACCUCAGAAGACAAAGGGAAAAGCAAAACUCUGCCCAGGAAGACCUUACUUUACAAACCAGCUCAACCAUAUUUACCAGCCUUCCUGUGGUCAUUUGUCUGAGCUCCAGCUAGUGAAGUAUGAGUAGAACGGACAUGCACCACUUCCAGACCUGGCACCGGCAAACCCCCCAUGGCAACCCUCCAACCCUUUCCUCAACAACUGGACCACGCUGGAAAGGACUGAGGAUCUAGAGGAGGACAGGGCUGUAAUAUGGAAGGAGUUUGGUUUCUGAAGGACCAUGUAGCAGGCCACCUGCAGGGCGGGAACAUCUUUAAUAGGUUUGGAAUAGCAAGAAAUAAACUGGUCUUGUAUUAAACAACUAA